AUUGCUGAGUGGUUAGGCACUCGGCUCCGAACCGAGGGUUCCGGGUUCGAAUCCUGGU
rnacentral:tRNA from 1 species